rnacentral:rRNA from 1 species
CCUACGGGUGGCAGCAGUGAGGAAUAUUGGUCAAUGGACGAGAGUCUGAACCAGCCAAGUAGCGUGAAGGAUGACUGCCCUAUGGGUUGUAAACUUCUUUUAUAAAGGAAUAAAACGAGGCACGUGUGCCUUUUUGCAUGUACUUUAUGAAUAAGGAUCGGCUAAAUCCGUGCCAGCAGCCGCGGUAAUACGGAGGAUCCGAGCGUUAUCCGGAUUUAUUGGGUUUAAAGGGAGCGUAGAUGGGUUUUUAAGUCAGUUGUGAAAGUUUGCGGCUCAACCGUAAAAUUGCAAUUGAUACUGGCAGUCGUGAGUACAGUUGAGGUAGGCGGAAUUCGUGGUGUAGCGGUGAAAUGCUUAGAUAUCACGAAGAACCCCGAUUGCGAAGGCAGCUUACUAAACUGUGACUGACAUUGAUGCUCGAAAGUGUGGGUAUCAAACAGGAUUAGAUACCCUAGUAGUC